rnacentral:lncRNA from 1 species
UAUCUCCCUUUCCCUUUUUCUCUCUGUCCCUCCCUCCUUCUUCCUCUCUAUUCUUCCCCUCCCCUUGUUUUUAUGCCUGAUUAUGUGGACACAGACAAGGAUUAAAACAGGGCACCUGCCCUUGAGGAGUUUACAAUCUGCUGGGCUGAGGAUCAACACAUGUUCAAAAAGAGAGGAAAGAAGUCAAGGGAGAUCAUGCCAGAUGGACUUAAUUUCAAUGAAGAACAGGGUCUUCCUGCCUGUAAGAAGGAGGCACUCUCUGCUUCUGUCAUGUGCUAAGCUUCGUCAAACAGAUUAUCUCUCUAAAGGUAGAGGCCUGUGAUUGACCGCUGUACCAAUGACUGAGCAGACAUAAAAGUCAGCCUGGAUGGCUACCACCACUAAUCAGAUUUGUCUGCUGAUGCAAGGCCCUUCAGUCAUUCCAGAACUGGUAAAUGGAGUCACCCUGAGGACAGGCCCUGCUGCUGAUUGAUGUCCAGUGUGGGCAGCUCUCUUGGCUGCUCAACAUUCAGAGAGGCUCUCCUUGUUUCAGUGCUAAAUGAUUGACAGUCAGGGUGAGUAUUUCAGGAGGAAGAGUCCCCCGCCCACUCCAGCCAUGUGGCAAAGGUAUUUGCUUCCUUGGGAAGGAAGUGAUUUAUCUGUGGGAGAACACUGUUUGGGCAAAGUUGCGUAGGAACAGCGUCUGUCUCUGCAAGCAUGUGUGUAUGUGAGUGUGGGCAUAAAGCAGCAAGAGUGGAAGGUAAAGACAACGUGAACGUCAUAAAAGAACACUUCUUUUUACAAAUGCUUGAAAACAUUCGAUGCUGAAAGACUUCAGACCACAUAAAUGAAUUUGCACCUAAUUCAACAUAGCUAUACUUCUUUCUUUUUCAGAAUUAAUGAGCCUGCCUUAUCAUUAGUUUUAUCAUAGAAACUAUCACAGAGAAGAAACCAUCUUAGAGAGAAAUCGGUGGAAGACAAGAUGAAAAAGGAAAAAUAAAAAAGACUGGAGGCAGGGGAACAUGGAGAAUGCAAGUGUGUUUGCAUUUGCACCAAGUUUGAGUUGAAAGGCUUUAUAAGGAUUUUGAGCAGCUGUAUAAGUAGUUAGAGCUAGAUAUGUGUAUAUGUGUUGCCAUUAACCAAGUUACUUCAACAUUAGCCUUAUGAUUAUAUGCCCUAGCAUUCAGAUUCAAGGAAGAAACAGUUUCUCUGGAGAAUUUUGUUCCUUAGUGACUGAUUUCAGUUGAUUUCAAGGUAAGCCAGGUAUGUAACUAACUUUUUAAAUUUAGAUGAAUAUAAGUUUAUGUUAUUAAUGAUUAUUUGUUUAUUCAUAAAAUUGACACUGACAUGUUACUAAAAUACAAGAAUCUCAAUUUUAUAUUGAAGAAAUUAAUUCAUUAGGUCAAACACAUAAAAAUUCUGAAGUGAAAAUGAUUCAUGUGUCAAGUGGUCAUAAUGUAAGACCCCAGUAAAUAUUCCACAGUAGGUUGAGCUAAUGGCAGUUGCUUCUCAGUACACAUUCAAACAUAUUUUCUCACAAUCUAGAGAGUUCAUCUACACUGGGCAGAAAGGGCUAGAUUGAUUAGCAACCAAAGGCCUGAGCUCCAUCGCUGGUUGCAUAACAAUAGCUGUGUGACCUUUGAUAAGGUGCUUAGCCUCUCUAUGCCACUGCUUUCUCACCUGUCAUGUAAGUGUAACAAUGUCUUUCUCACCUGUCUCAUAUUAUUGCUAUGCAGAAGAAAUGAGAUUUCAUUCUGGAAGUUCUUUAAGCCCCUGAACAAAAUGCAAGUUUUUAUGGAUCCACACACACAUACACUAUUCAUGAUCAUGAAUACAUAAUGUACUCUGUUUUGAAUAUGCUGUAGGUGUUUUGUGCUUUGAAUGCUUGUGCCUGGAGAUCCCAGCCCAUAACAGCACACAAUAGGUGUCCCCUGUGGGGGUAACCCACAGAGUAUAACUCCCAGAGUAUAACCCAGGUGAUAUUCUGCCACACCUGUGCUCUGACAGAUGGUGGUGUGGAGAGAGAAAUUUGCCACAUCAACACAUGCCAAGGUAAGGAGAACAGAGCCACGUAAUAGCAACACCAAAGCCUGUCUGUCCAUUAAGCCAAGUCAAAUGCCACUUUCUUCACAUAGCUUUCUGGGGCUUCUUUCUCCUCCUGAAGGAAUUAAUUUCUUCUGAAUCUGUGUACUUGUUUCACUCUGUCGAUGUGGCCUUGAACUUUCCGUACCCAUGCCAACCCCAACAGCAUUCAGCUGGCACCCAAUAAAUAGGAUUCCAGCUCUCUUAGAGUCUGCAGCCUCAGUUCUGAAAUUCUGGCCUGACCCUGAGUCAUUCCUCAGAUUAGAUUUCACCCUAUUUGUAUUCUCCUGCCUUGCAACUUCCAGCCAAGUCAAUACAUAGUUACCAAGCACUUGCUAUUUGCUAGGAGUGUGCUAAAUUAUGGGGUACGGUAAUGGACAAUAAUUCAUGUCUUUUGCUCUCUUGAAGAUUAGAACCUAAUGAGGCUAUAAACAAUUAAACAAUUUCAAUCUUCAAACUAAGGAAUUUAUAGGGAAAUUUUCAAAAAGGGUCCAGUAUGAGAUAUAUGAGAUCUAUGGGCUGAGAAGGUGUUAAUUAGGUGAAAGUCUGUUUAGAAAGGCAGAAUGUUCCAAGUAAUACAUCUAGGCAACAAAGGAGAACCUGUUACAUUUAAGAAAUGGAAAGACACUCGGUUUGGACAAAGCUAAGUACUAAGCAAAAGCCAACUUCUUUACCUAUUUCUCUACUUCCAGCUUCACCUUAUAUUUGGUACCUUCAUACUUAAUGUUGGGCUCUGUAACUCCCUCCUGUACAGCCUCUUAAUCACCUCCCCAGUUUGGUCAACACCAAGAUCCCAGUUCCUUUUGAUCCCCAAACGGACUAAUUUCCUCUUGCCUUAUAAAUGGAAACUGAUCUGUCUCAAUGUUUUUUUUUUUAACAUGUAAUUUGCAUCACAAUGAUCCAAUUUGAGGGCACAUAUUAUUUUUCUUAUCAGACUGCCAAGGAACAGAUGAUCUUUGUAUUUCCUCCCAAGUACCUAGAAUAGUGCCUAACAAUACAUUUGUAUUUUCCUAUAACAAAUUUCUAUCAUGUCACUUUCUGGUUUAAAAUCCUUCAGUGACUCUGCAGUACAUUUUAGGACAAAACCCUAUUCCAAAAUACAGGCCACAAGUCCCUCAUGUUCCAGCCCCAUUAGCCUGCCAGCCUCACCAAAGGCAGAAGCCCUUUGCCCUCCUCACUUCCCCUUCCACUUACAGGAAGCACUCAACUUCUCAAGGCUUCUUGCUCCUUCCUGCCUUUGAGCUCCCUCACAUGCCAUUCUUUCUGCUUGCCCCACCCAGCCCCACCCAGCCAGACUCAGCCCUUCACUGUGGCUCAUCUUGGAGGUCUCAGGUUACAUAUCACUUCACAGGAAGGCUUUCCCCAAUACUCACUUAGUUGCUACUGCUACAAUAUGGCACUUAUUAUGCUUUACUGAAAUUACUUGUUGAAAUGUUUAUCUCUCCUGCUGAGGGUAUCUCAGCCUUGGUAUGAUUGACAUUUUGGACCAAAUCAUUCUUUGUGGCGGGGGCUGUCUUGUACAUGGUAGGUUGUUUAGCAGCAUCCCUGGCCUCUACCCGCUAGAUGCCAGUAGCACCUUCCCCAGUUAUGACAGCCAAGAAUGUCUGCAGACGUUGCUAAAUGUCUCCUGGGGGGGCAGUCACAUCCAUUUGAGAGUGACUGUGCCAGAUCAUUGAGAAGGUAAGGACUGUGUCUUGAAUAAGUAGUGAAUACCACUGUAUCACAACCUGGCAUUUAGUGGAAGGCUACUGAUCAUGUGUUGCAUGAAUGAAUAGAAGUUUUUACUAUAAGCUCCUACUGAAUGAAUGAAUAUUAGUAAGAAAACUGUGUCAGAAACACUGGUAGUUCAGAACCCUGCAUUUUUAUUUAAUGAAGGGUGGAACCUGCAAGAACAUGGUGGUCUCUUACUUUGGAACCUGUCUCCUCCUUGCCUGUUAAUCGGUCCUGGUCCUCUAUUCCCCCCACCCCCAAACAUACCUCUUUGGGCUGCCCUGUCCACCCAUCUCCCCUCUACCAAGCAGAAAAAAAAGGUUCCAGCUCCCUGAGCUUUCUUCUUCAAAGACAUUUAAGCUUUUAAUGCGAAUCCUGAUUAAUUAACAAGGGCACGGGACUUACAUGCAUUUCAAGUUGCUUUUAUCUCGUGAAGAAAAGAAGCCUUUUGGCAGAUACUUUCUGUUCAAUGUCUAGUUCAGUAUUUCAAAGGGCAAGCUGUGAUGGGCUGAGCGGGUUACCAUUUGUGUGUGUGUGAAGGGCAAUGACUAGUAAUUAAGGGACAGACCCCUUUAUGUCAACUUAAGAAAAAAAAUUAAUCUCAGCUUCAUUUCAAGCUGGGUUUGGUGUUGAAGGGCAGAAGCAAAAUAGAAAGGGGGUACACUGUAUGGUAAUGGCUGGAUCUCUUUGGCUUUGAAUGAAAAAGCUAAUAUUUGUUGAGAACCUACUGUAUACUAUAUCAGAUCCCCCCAGAACCCUGUGGAAGAGUCAAUAUAAUUUAAUUUUACAAAAACAAAGUUUGGGAGGCAUCAAGUUAUUUGUCCAAAAUACAACAAAUAGUCCAGCCAUAUUCAGAAUAUGGUAGAUCUGAAUACAUUCUUUCAUCCAAAACUUCCGGCUUAGUCAAUUGUCUGCUGCUAUAAUAGAUACCACAGACUGGGAAAUUUAUGAAGAAAAGAAAUUUAUUUGGCUUAUGGUUCUGGAGGAUGGACAGUCCAAGGUCAUGACACUUGGAUCUGUUCGGCCAUCUGGUGAAGACCUUGUUGCAUUCUCCCAUGGUGGAAAGAAGAAAGCAAGCAAUCUGUCAAGAUCUCAUAGAUUAAGGGCUCCUACAGCAACCUGUACUCACCCUAUUUUACCCUUUAUCAUACAUUUUUGGUAAGUAAUCUUUUUAUUGUUCAACUUCCCAAAUAAAAUAUAAACUUUUAACAAACAGGGACCUUGGCUUUCUUGUUGAAUUCUGUAUCCUUAGUGUUUCACAUGGGGACUGACACAAAGUAGGUUUCAAGAAAUAGUUGUUGAAGUAAAUAUUUCCUUAGGACCUACUCUGCUGAGAUUACUAGUUGCCUUGUAUCAUAGUAGGUCAUACUUAUCCCUUCUUUUUAAGUAACAUAAUUCUCAUUUUAACCUGGAAGGCCAUACUAAGUGGCCAAAAGACAACCCAGCUCCUGUGUCAUUAAGAAUAACUGUGUAAAUCUGAUUCAUGAGAUGUAAACAGAAAUGUUGUGUUUCACUUCCAUGAAGUCUUUUACUCCAUCCUCCUCCUUAGAUCAUGCAUGUGAUGGCUGGAACUCAGUCAUUUUGGACCAUGAAGACCAGACCCACACGCUGGGGCCUAAGAAGCAGAAGUAUGAAAGCCACCUGGAUCCCUGAAGACCAUGGAAUUGUUAGAACAAUUCUACUCUAUCUGUAGACUUGUUUUAUUUGAAAGAUAAGUAGAUUUCUGUCUUAUUCAAUUCACUGAUUUUGGUUCUUUGUUAUUUGCAAUCAAAUCUAAUUCCAGUAGAUACAACUCCUAAGUGCAGAGCACUGUUCUAGGGAUUGUGGGGCAUGCUGACAUGGGUCUCAUGCCUGCAUAGCACUCAUAGCCUGCAGAAGAACAGCAGUGCUGCCAUAUCUGAUGGUCAUUUGACACACUGAACUCCAGCCAUAUCAAUUUUCUUUUCAGUCCCCAAAUGGCAGUCACCACAAAAGAAGAAAAGAUAAAGCUCUUAGUGGGAUCUGAAUCAAGAGAUACCACUUACAGUGGAAGGAAAAAAGAUCAUUUUCAUGGAGGAACUGCCCUUGAAUUUCGCCUUGAAUAUUGAUGAGUAUUGGAAUCUGCAGAGACUGGGAUAAGGUUGGGAUGAGGUCGAACACUACAGGAACAGAAAAUAUGGAACAUGUUUGGGAGCAGGCCAGGGAUUCUGUCAUAUAAAGUGCAUGAAAAAGCAUAUCAUGUAAUAUUUAUGAUUAUUGCUCUGGAGUUAGACUGUUUGGGUUUGAAUCCCAGAUCCAGUGUUUACUAUCUAUGUGACCUCGGCUGAGUCAUGAACUUCCAUGAGCUCCAUUCUUCUCACCUUUAAAAUGAAGAUCACAACUCCUACCUUCUUGGCUUGUUACCAGAAUUAAAUGAGUUUUUAUGUGUGGAGGGCUCAUGAGAGUGGCUGUCCCAAAUAAGCAUUCUCUAAAUGUUAGAUAUGACUGUCAUCCCCUUAAAACUGCAAGAGUUAGUUGAAACCAUAGCAAGCCGAGCCAUGAAUGCCAUGUUAAUGCAUGUUAAUGCCAUUAUUAUAAAGGUACCAAAAAGCUGCUGACAGUUUGUGAGCAAAGUUGUGGAUGACAUUAUCAGAGCUGUAUUUUAGGAAGUCUUAAUAUGUCAA